rnacentral:rRNA from 1 species
AUACGGAGGGCGCAAGCGUUGUUCGGAAUCAUUGGGCGUAAAGCGCGUGUAGGCGGCUUGGUAAGUCGGGUGUGAAAUCCCGGGGCUCAACCCCGGAACUGCAUUCGAAACUGCCUCGCUAGAGUCCCGGAGAGGAAGGCGGAAUUCCCGGUGUAGAGGUGAAAUUCGUAGAUAUCGGGAGGAACACCAGUGGCGAAGGCGGCCUUCUGGACGGUGACUGACGCUGAGACGCGAAAGCGUGGGGAGCAAACAGGAUUAGAUACCCCGGUAGUCC